AUGCAUGUGUCAGUACAGGCCGCUCUAAGGCUAAACCGCGAAUGGCUCAUUAAAUCAGUUAUGGUUCAUUUGAUCUCACUCCCAUUACUUGGAUAACCCUGGUAAUUCUAGAGCUAAUACGUGACAACAACUACUCCGACUGGAAGGGAGGAGUGCUUUUAUUAGAUGAAAACCAAUCGGGCCUCGGUCCGUCAAACACAAACUGUGCUGAUUCUGAAUAACUUUGUGCCGAGAGCACGGUCUCCGCACCGGCUCCGUAUCUUUCGAGUUUCUGCCUUAUCAUGCUGUGGAUUGUAGGCCAUGCGCCUACUGUGGCUGUUACGGGUGACGGAGAAUCAGGGUUCGAUUCCGGAGAGGGAGCCUGAGAAACGGCUACCACA
rnacentral:rRNA from 1 species